UUAAGCGACUAAGCGUACACGGUGGAUGCCCUGGCAGUCAGAGGCGAUGAAGGACGUGCUAAUCUGCGAUAAGCGCCGGUAAGGUGAUAUGAACCGUUAUAACCGGCGAUUUCCGAAUGGGGAAACCCAGUGUGAUUCGUCACACUAUCAUUAACUGAAUCCAUAGGUUAAUGAGGCGAACCGGGGGAACUGAAACAUCUAAGUACCCCGAGGAAAAGAAAUCAACCGAGAUUCCCCCAGUAGCGGCGAGCGAACGGGGAGGAGCCCAGAGCCUGAAUCAGCAUGUGUGUUAGUGGAAGCGUCUGGAAAGGUGCGCGAUACAGGGUGACAGCCCCGUACACAAAAGCGCAUGUGCUGUGAGCUCGAUGAGUAGGGCGGGACACGUGGUAUCCUGUCUGAAUAUGGGGGGACCAUCCUCCAAGGCUAAAUACUCCUGACUGACCGAUAGUGAACCAGUACCGUGAGGGAAAGGCGAAAAGAACCCCGGCGAGGGGAGUGAAAAAGAACCUGAAACCGUGUACGUACAAGCAGUGGGAGCACAGGUUUACCUGUGUGACUGCGUACCUUUUGUAUAAUGGGUCAGCGACUUAUAUUCUGUAGCAAGGUUAACCGUAUAGGGGAGCCGUAGGGAAACCGAGUCUUAACCGGGCGUUAAGUUGCAGGGUAUAGACCCGAAACCCGGUGAUCUAGCCAUGGGCAGGUUGAAGGUUGGGUAACACUAACUGGAGGACCGAACCGACUAAUGUUGAAAAAUUAGCGGAUGACCUGUGGCUGGGGGUGAAAGGCCAAUCAAACCGGGAGAUAGCUGGUUCUCCCCGAAAGCUAUUUAGGUAGCGCCUCGUGAAUUCAUCUCCGGGGGUAGAGCACUGUUUCGGCUAGGGGGCCAUCCCGGCUUACCAACCCGAUGCAAACUGCGAAUACCGGAGAAUGUUAUCACGGGAGACACACGGCGGGUGCUAACGUCCGUCGUGAAGAGGGAAACAACCCAGACCGCCAGCUAAGGUCCCAAAGUCAUGGUUAAGUGGGAAACGAUGUGGGAAGGCCCAGACAGCCAGGAUGUUGGCUUAGAAGCAGCCAUCAUUUAAAGAAAGCGUAAUAGCUCACUGGUCGAGUCGGCCUGCGCGGAAGAUGUAACGGGGCUAAACCAUGCACCGAAGCUGCGGCAGCGAACGUAUCACCCAAGACAACUUUACGGAGUUGACGAUUGACGGAGCGAAGCGACGUCAAAGCGUUCAUUAAAGUCGAGUUGGCUUAGGGAUACGUUCGUUGGGUAGGGGAGCGUUCUGUAAGCCUGUGAAGGUGUGUCGUGAGGCAUGCUGGAGGUAUCAGAAGUGCGAAUGCUGACAUAAGUAACGAUAAAGCGGGUGAAAAGCCCGCUCGCCGGAAGACCAAGGGUUCCUGUCCAACGUUAAUCGGGGCAGGGUGAGUCGACCCCUAAGGCGAGGCCGAAAGGCGUAGUCGAUGGGAAACGGGUUAAUAUUCCCGUACUUGGUGUUACUGCGAAGGGGGGACGGAGAAGGCUAUGUUGGCCGGGCGACGGUUGUCCCGGUUUAAGCGUGUAGGUGUGUGUUCCAGGUAAAUCCGGUUCACUUUAACACUGAGGCGUGACGACGAGGCACUACGGUGCUGAAGCAACAAAUGCCCUGCUUCCAGGAAAAGCCUCUAAGCAUCAGGUAACACGAAAUCGUACCCCAAACCGACACAGGUGGUCAGGUAGAGAAUACCAAGGCGCUUGAGAGAACUCGGGUGAAGGAACUAGGCAAAAUGGUGCCGUAACUUCGGGAGAAGGCACGCUGACACGUAGGUGAAGUGAUUUACUCAUGGAGCUGAAGUCAGUCGAAGAUACCAGCUGGCUGCAACUGUUUAUUAAAAACACAGCACUGUGCAAACACGAAAGUGGACGUAUACGGUGUGACGCCUGCCCGGUGCCGGAAGGUUAAUUGAUGGGGUCAGCGCAAGCGAAGCUCCUGAUCGAAGCCCCGGUAAACGGCGGCCGUAACUAUAACGGUCCUAAGGUAGCGAAAUUCCUUGUCGGGUAAGUUCCGACCUGCACGAAUGGCGUAAUGAUGGCCAGGCUGUCUCCACCCGAGACUCAGUGAAAUUGAACUCGCUGUGAAGAUGCAGUGUACCCGCGGCAAGACGGAAAGACCCCGUGAACCUUUACUAUAGCUUGACACUGAACAUUGAGCCUUGAUGUGUAGGAUAGGUGGGAGGCUUUGAAGUGUGGACGCCAGUCUGCAUGGAGCCGACCUUGAAAUACCACCCUUUAAUGUUUGAUGUUCUAACGUGGACCCGUAAUCCGGGUUGCGGACAGUGUCUGGUGGGUAGUUUGACUGGGGCGGUCUCCUCCUAAAGAGUAACGGAGGAGCACGAAGGUUGGCUAAUCCUGGUCGGACAUCAGGAGGUUAGUGCAAUGGCAUAAGCCAGCUUGACUGCGAGCGUGACGGCGCGAGCAGGUGCGAAAGCAGGUCAUAGUGAUCCGGUGGUUCUGAAUGGAAGGGCCAUCGCUCAACGGAUAAAAGGUACUCCGGGGAUAACAGGCUGAUACCGCCCAAGAGUUCAUAUCGACGGCGGUGUUUGGCACCUCGAUGUCGGCUCAUCACAUCCUGGGGCUGAAGUAGGUCCCAAGGGUAUGGCUGUUCGCCAUUUAAAGUGGUACGCGAGCUGGGUUUAGAACGUCGUGAGACAGUUCGGUCCCUAUCUGCCGUGGGCGCUGGAGAACUGAGGGGGGCUGCUCCUAGUACGAGAGGACCGGAGUGGACGCAUCACUGGUGUUCGGGUUGUCAUGCCAAUGGCACUGCCCGGUAGCUAAAUGCGGAAGAGAUAAGUGCUGAAAGCAUCUAAGCACGAAACUUGCCCCGAGAUGAGUUCUCCCUGAGACUUAGAGUCUCCUGAAGGAACGUUGAAGACGACGACGUUGAUAGGCCGGGUGUGUAAGCGCAGCGAUGCGUUGAGCUAACCGGUACUAAUGAACCGUGAGGCUUAACCUU
rnacentral:rRNA from 1 species